rfam:Oryza glumipatula chromosome 3, whole genome shotgun sequence.
AAAAAGAUAAACCCUAUUUUCCGUGUCUAACGUUUGACCGUCUGUCUUAUUUUAAAAAAUUAUAAAAAAAAAUUAAAAAGACAAGUCACACAUAAAAUAUUAAUCAUGUUUUAUCAUCUAACAACAAUAAAAAUACGAAUUAUAAAAAAAAUUAUAUAAGACGGGCAGUCAAAGUUAAACAUGGAAACCCAUAGUUUGCCUUUUU